rnacentral:pre_miRNA from 1 species
UUUGUGUAACUGUUCAUGUGGUGCUCCUUUUGUGGCUUAUAUUGUUUUCAAUAUAAGCCACAAAAGGAGCACCACAUGAACAGUUAACUU